AUCCAGCGAACUUGGCAGAGAUGCCUUGGUGCCUUCGGGAACGCUGAGACAGGUGCUGCAUGGCUGUCGUCAGCUCGUGUUGUGAAAUGUUGGGUUAAGUCCCGCAACGAGCGCAACCCUUAUCCUUUGUUGCCAGCGAUUCGGUCGGGAACUCAAAGGAGACUGCCGGUGAUAAACCGGAGGAAGGUGGGGAUGACGUCAAGUCAUCAUGGCCCUUACGAGUAGGGCUACACACGUGCUACAAUGGCGCAUACAAAGAGAAGCGACCUCGCGAGAGCAAGCGGACCUCAUAAAGUGCGUCGUAGUCCGGAUCGGAGUCUGCAACUCGACUCCGUGAAGUCGGAAUCGCUAGUAAUCGUGGAUCAGAAUGCCACGGUGAAUACGUUCCCGGGCCUUGUACACACCGCCCGUCACACCAUGGGAGUGGGUUGCAAAAGAAGUAGGUAGCUUAACCCUCGGGAGGGGCGCUUACCACUUUGUGAUUCAUGACUGGGGUGAAGUCGUAACAAGGUAGGCGUAGUGCU
rnacentral:rRNA from 1 species